GACGAACGCUGGCGGCGUGCUUAACACAUGCAAGUCGAACGCUGAAGACCUGGCUUUUGGUGGGGCGGAUGAGGGGCGAACGGGUGAGUAACACGUGAGUAACCUGCUCUCUUUUUUGGGAUAACGACCGGAAACGGGCGCUAAUACUGGAUAUUCACUGACUUUAGCAUGGGGGUUGGUGGAAUGGGUCGUUUGGGUGGGGGGUGGGCUCGCGGCCUAUCAGCGUGUUGGUGGGGUGAUGGCCUAGCAAGGCUUUGACGGGUGGCUGGCAUGGGAGGGGGGCCGGUCAGAUUGGGACUGGAAUACGGGCCAGACUCCUGCGCGAGGCAGCAGUGGGGGAUAGUGCACGAUAGGCGAACGCAUGAUGCGGCGGCGCGGCGUGAGGGAUCGAGGCCUUGGAGGUGUACAUCUCGUUCGUUAACGGUCAAGGCGUAACUGGGAGUUGUGGUGAGGGUAGUGGGUAAAGAAGCACCGGCUAACUACGUG
rnacentral:rRNA from 1 species